CCUCAUUCGGUUGAUUGAAACUCCCGAACGCCAGUUUGAUACUGUAAGUGGAAAUCGGUCAGACGGGACUUCCAUAGAGACCGGGUGUUCGUGUGUUUGUCAUGCCGAAAAAUGGUUCCAGGCAAUCCACCAGUAAGUCCCGCUGACCGCGUUCGGGAGAUCUAAGAUGGCCGCCAUCCUUUGCUCUUGCCACGUGUUCGUAUGCCGAAUGGUGGCCACCUGGAAGCACUCAAUUACCUUGCGGUUUUCGUGGUUACUUAGUG